rnacentral:rRNA from 1 species
CCUACGGGAGGCAGCAGUGAGGAAUAUUGGUCAAUGGACGGGAGUCUGAACCAGCCAAGUAGCGUGAAGGAUGACUGCCCUAUGGGUUGUAAACUUCUUUUAUAUGGGAAUAAAAUGCUCCACGUGUGGGGUUUUGUAUGUACCUUAUGAAUAAGGAUCGGCUAAUUACGUGCCAGCAGCCGCGGUAAUACGGAAGAUGCGAGCGUUAUCCGGAUUUAUUGGGUUUAAAGGGAGCGUAGGGGGUUGUUUAAGUAAGCGGGAAAAUUUUGCGGCCCAACCGUACAGUGCAGUUGAAACUGGGAGACUUGAGUACGCGAGAGGUAGGCGGAAUGCGUGGUGUAGCGGUGAAAUGCUUAGAUAUCACGAAGAACUCCGAUUGCGAAGGCAGCUUACCGGAGCGCUACUGACGCUGAGGCUCGAAAGUGCGGGUAUCAAACAGGAUUAGAUACCCGUGUAGUC